AAGCUAAUAAUUUAAUGGUUAGAAUAAAUUCUUGAUAAGGAUUAAGUAGAAGUUCAAUUCUUCUUUGGCUUA
rnacentral:tRNA from 1 species